UACGGAGGGGGCAAGCGUUGUUCGGAAUUACUGGGCGUAAAGGGCGCGCAGGCGGCUGCUCAAGUCAGGCGUGAAAGGCCUGGGCUCAACCCGGGAAUUGCGCUUGAGACUGGGCUGGCUUGAGUGCGGGAGAGGAUGGUGGAAUUCCCAGUGUAGUAGGUGAAAUUCGUAGAUAUUGGGAAGAACACCUGAGGCGAAGGGCGGCUAUCUGGCGGUGCACUGACGCUGAGGCGCGAAAGCGUGGGGAGCAAACAGGAUUAGACUCC
rnacentral:rRNA from 1 species